UACGUAGGGUGCAAGCGUUGUCCGGAAUUAUUGGGCGUAAAGAGCUCGUAGGCGGUUUGUCGCGUCUGCUGUGAAAACUCAGGGCUUAACCCUGAGCCUGCAGUGGGUACGGGCAGACUAGAGUGUGGUAGGGGAGAUCGGAAUCCUGGUGUAGCGGUGGAAUGCGCAGAUAUCAGGAGGAACACCGGUGGCGAAGGCGGAUCUCUGGGGCCAUAACUGACGCUGGAGGAGCGAAAGCAUGGGGAGCGAACAGGA
rnacentral:rRNA from 1 species